rnacentral:rRNA from 1 species
GAUGAACGCUAGCGGCAGGCCUAAUACAUGCAAGUCGAACGGUGUCUUCGGACAUAGUGGCGCACGGGUGCGUAACACGUAUGCAACCUACCUUACAUUGGGGGAUAGCCUUUCGAAAGGGAGAUUAAUACCGCAUAAUACAGUCGCUGGGCAUCCAGCAGCUGGUAAGGAUUUAUCGAUGUCAGCUGGGCAUGCGUCCAAUUAGCUAGUUGGUGAGGUAACGGCUCACCAAGGGAAUGAUUGGUAGGGGAACUGAGAGGUCAAUCCCCCACACUGGCACUGAGAUACGGGCCAGACUCCUACGGGAGGCAGCAGUAGGGAAUAUUGGGCAAUGGACGCAAGUCUGACCCAGCCAUGCCGCGCUCAGGAUGAAGGAGUUAUGCGUUGUAAACUGCUUUUAUACAGGAAGAAACGACUCUUGCGAGAGGCAUUGACGGUACUGUAUGAAUAAGCACCGGCUAACUCCGUGCCAGCCGCCGCCGUAAUAC